AUCGAACGCUGGCGGCAGGCCUAACACAUGCAAGUCGAGCGAGCGGCGGACGGGUGAGUAAUGUAUGGGGACUGCCCGAUAGAGGGGGAUAAAUACUGGAAACGGUGGCUAAUACCGCAUCCUAUCGGAUAACCCCUAUGGGAUUAGCUAGUAGGUGGGGUAAAGGUUAACCUAGGCGACGAGCUCUAGCUGGUCUGAGAGGAUGAUCAGACGCACUGGGAGCGAGACACGGCCCAGGGUCCUACGGAGGCAGCAGUGGGGAAUAUGGCACAAGGGGCGCAAGCCUUACGCAGCCAGGGCGCGUGUAUUAAGAAGGCCUUAGGGGGGGAAAGUACGUUCAGCGGGGGUGCGUUACCCGCAGAAGAAGCACCGGCUAACUCCGUGCCAGCAGCCGCGGUAAUAC
rnacentral:rRNA from 1 species